GAGUUCUCGCUGCGCUCCGCAGGCUUCGGGUUCCUUUUGCUGAAGCCGGGAGAGUAAGACUCUCCCGGCUUCAGCAAAAGGAACCUGAAGCCUGCGGAGUGCAGCGGGAACUC